rnacentral:rRNA from 1 species
GAUGAACGCUGGCGGCGUGCCUAAUACAUGCAAGUCGAGCGAACGGACGAGAAGCUUGCUUCUCUGAUGUUAGCGGCGGACGGAUGAGUAACACGUGGAUAACCUACCUAUAAGACUGGGAUAACUUCGGGAAACCGGAGCUAAUACCGGAUAAUAUUUUGAACCGCAUGGUUCAAAAGUGAAAGACGGUCUUGCUGUCACUUAUAGAUGGAUCCGCGCUGCAUUAGCUAGUUGGUAAGGUAACGGCUUACCAAGGCAACGAUGCAUAGCCGACCUGAGAGGGUGAUCGGCCACACUGGAACUGAGACACGGUCCAGACUCCUACGGGAGGCAGCAGUAGGGAAUCUUCCGCAAUGGGCGAAAGCCUGACGGAGCAACGCCGCGUGAGUGAUGAAGGUCUUCGGAUCGUAAAACUCUGUUAUUAGGGAAGAACAUAUGUGUAAGUAACUGUGCACAUCUUGACGGUACCUAAUCAGAAAGCCACGGCUAACUACGUGCCAGCAGCCGCGGUAAUACGUAGGUGGCAAGCGUUAUCCGGAAUUAUUGGGCGUAAAGCGCGCGUAGGCGGUUUUUUAGUCUGAUGUGAAAGCCCACGGCUCAACCGUGGAGGGUCAUUGGAAACUGGAAAACUUGAGUGCAGAAGAGGAAAGUGGAAUUCCAUGUGUAGCGGUGAAAUGCGCAGAGAUAUGGAGGAACACCAGUGGCGAAGGCGACUUCCUGGUCUGUAACUGACGCUGAUGUGCGAAAGCGUGGGGAUCAAACAGGAUUAGAUACCCUGGUAGUCCACGCCGUAAACGAUGAGUGCUAAGUGUUAGGGGGUUUCCGCCCCUUAGUGCUGCAGCUAACGCAUUAAGCACUCCGCCUGGGGAGUACGACCGCAAGGUUGAAACUCAAAGGAAUUGACGGGGACCCGCACAAGCGGUGGAGCAUGUGGUUUAAUUCGAAGCAACGCGAAGAACCUUACCAAAUCUUGACAUCCUUUGACAACUCUAGAGAUAGAGCCUUCCCCUUCGGGGGACAAAGUGACAGGUGGUGCAUGGUUGUCGUCAGCUCGUGUCGUGAGAUGUUGGGUUAAGUCCCGCAACGAGCGCAACCCUUAAGCUUAGUUGCCAUCAUUAAGUUGGGCACUCUAAGUUGACUGCCGGUGACAAACCGGAGGAAGGUGGGGAUGACGUCAAAUCAUCAUGCCCCUUAUGAUUUGGGCUACACAUGUGCUACAAUGGACAAUACAAAGGGCAGCGAAACCGUGAGGUCAAGCAAAUCCCAUAAAGUUGUUCUCAGUUCGGAUUGUAGUCUGCAACUCGACUACAUGAAGCUGGAAUCGCUAGUAAUCGUAGAUCAGCAUGCUACGGUGAAUACGUUCCCGGGUCU